rnacentral:rRNA from 1 species
AUAUUGGACAAUGGACGCAAGUCUGAUCCAGCCAUGCCGCGUGAAGGAUUAAGGUCCUCUGGAUUGUAAACUUCUUUUAUAGGGGAAGAAAAGCAGAGAUUCUUCUUUGUCUGACGGUACCCUAUGAAUAAGCACCGGCUAACUCCGUGCCAGCAGCCGCGGUAAUACGGAGGGUGCAAGCGUUAUCCGGAUUCACUGGGUUUAAAGGGUGCGUAGGCGGGAAUGUAAGUCAGUGGUGAAAUCUCGGAGCUUAACUCCGAAACUGCCAUUGAUACUAUGUUUCUUGAAUAUUGUGGAGGUGAGCGGAAUAUGUCAUGUAGCGGUGAAAUGCUUAGAUAUGACAUAGAACACCGAUUGCGAAGGCAGCUCGCUACACAAAUAUUGACGCUGAGGCACGAAAGCGUGGGGAUCAAACA